rnacentral:lncRNA from 1 species
UCUUUCGACAUCAUUUGCAGCAAAGCAAGCAGAUAUGUGGUCAAUUUUUUUUGUAAUCCACCGAUGAGUACAUCAGCACGCACGCUAUCGGCCCCGAUCUACUAACGGGAGAAAUGCUUAUGGUAGAAGUUACGGCCUCCAAGAUUUGAGUGCAAGAGCUUAGGCGCGCGGCCCAUUUUUGGAGGCUGGAUGGCUACAAGCUGCUGACGGAUUUAUUGCGCAGUUUUCGCGUUUCUGUUAUGCACUGUGAUGGUGCUUUUUGACACUCGGGAAUAUGUAAUGGAGGUUCUUUGGAUCGAGCGCACCUUGCGUUCGCUGUCUUAGCCACUCGGCGAGCGCGGAACCAGGGAAAAUUUGAGUGGCUCGUGGGACCCCAAGGAGGAGCCUGCGGAACCCACUUUGAGAACCCAUGCUUUAAAGUUUAAAGGGUUGUAAACAGCUGCACUGAUUUUUUUCUCACGCAAGGAAGUGGGGUUUGCAGUUCUGUGAGUGUCUCUAAUUGUGAUAGCUUAAACAAAAAGAGUCGCUUCUGUGCUUAGUGAUUGAUAUUUGAAGUACAUAGUAUUUAUUUUGUCUUUCCACUGUGUCAGAGCUUUUGGUGUCGUAGGUGUCAUUUUAUUGAAGUACAAGGCUGUACAUGAAAUAAUAGUUAAUUCUGACCUCUUCACUUGCUUUGUUGACAUAUUUACACGUGUGACACCUAUUGUUUGCUUUUUGACAAGACUGCUUAAAGGGAAGCUGAAGAGAUUUUAGAAUUGGAAGAUUUACAGUGGUUUAGAAGGCUGGCACAGUAUAAUUAAACUCCUGAAAUUAUUUUCUUGAUUGUGCGCAUCUCGCGAUUUCCCGCCUUGCGUGCCGAGCACAACAGCAAAAGACUAAGCGCGAGGAUGACAUCAACAGAGGGGUCACGUGAGCGCUCUAUUCGAACUGCGCCUUGUCGAUACCGAAAAUGAUGUCACGAUCGUCUUCACCAUCGCUCUAGAGCCCCUUGACCGACCCGUGUCAUCUCCUGCUGAUGCUGCCACUAGAUUUUGCUAAAUUAAUGCAAUUUGCGUUACUUGUGGCUUGUUAAACUAUGAGUUUUGUAUUCAGGUGGUGAGAAAAUAACUCGCUGAAAAGUAACUUUUUUUUUUUUUAAGUGUUUCAGGUUUCCUUUAAGGGGGAGGCUGCAGAUGAUUUUUUUUUUUCAUGGUGGACUUAAAUUGAAUGUAGCUUUCAUUUUUUUUUCUGUUGGUGUUUUUUAAGUUCUUUUUUUUUUAAAUACUAAAAGUUGCUUUUUGCUCUUCAAUUUUUCUGGUCUUGAAUAUAGUUGGCAGAGGGCUGAGAAGCUGUCGUUGGAAUUUAGCACCCCACGCUGCUCAUCUGAGCGUUUCAUGCUGCAUUCUUGCAAGCAACAAAUUAGUUGUACUUAGCUUGGCUACACUGCAGGGUACACCUGAAAUGCUGUUUCAAACUCGUGUGAUGCAUUAGCUUGUGCACAGGUACAUUUCCUACCAACUAAAAUUUGUGCAUUCUCUAAUGUGUCACUUAUUGAUUACUUAUCGGAAAUAUUACUAUUAUUAUUGCUAUUGAAAACAAAAGGAUUCUGUUGUGGGGGGGGGGAAGCUGUGAAUCAAAUCCAAUUGAGAUAGAGAAAACCAACGCAUUAGCUCUGUGUGCAUACUGAUGCAGCUUGCUUGCAGAGUGACAUAGCAGCAACUGUCUCUAAGAGGUGUCAUAGUCACCAUGGACCAUGUCUUGCUGCUGCGAUAUAAUUGUAAAAUAAUAGCUCUAAAUGGGGGUAUACAAUGCUCUCGUCGACUGAAGUGUCUCUGUCUAGAGGCAAUUUGUAAAUUUUGAAAUGUUCAGUUUCUUUGCCAGGUGUAAACUUUAUGCGGUAAAAAGGUUGGAGUAGGAAGUGCACGGCUCUGGUCAUCUGGCUAAUGGCUUCAGCUGGCUUGGGAAAUCAAUUAUUGCUCUUCUGCUGUUGGCUUCAUACCUUAUAUUGUACUCUUCUGCAGUACUUAGUAACUUGCUUGAUAACUUACCUUCUUUAGGUUGUCGCAGGAGGUUGUGGGUUUGAUUCCUGGUCGUGGUGGCCGCAUUUCAAUGGGGGCAAAAUGUAAAAGCAUGCAUGUACUUAGAUUUAGGUGCACAUCAAAGAACCUGCAGAUGGUCAAAAUUAAUCUGGAGCACUCCACUGAGGUGUCCUUCAUAACCCACGGUGCAGUUUUGGAACAUUCAGUUCCACAAUUUUUUUUUCUUUACGUUGUUUAGUGUGUAUCUCAUUUUGUGCUUUUUAGGUGGUGCAGUUUGAAGUGCAUUGAUCCAAGAUAUCUUACCAAGAGCAUUUUGAUGCAAUCCACCAUGGUGAAUACAGGACUAUUUCUAGUGCAUACUUAAAAGAGGCUGCAGGUGAGCUGGACCAUAAGUCUCUCUCCAGAUGUUCACAACAGCUUUAGAAGCAUGUGUCUCUACUAUUUUGACAAUGGAGAGUUAUUAUAGGCUAAUGUCCCAUUAUGAGGUGCGGUUACUGAUUUCUGACCAGGCUAUAUUUAUUUUUCUUAUGGGGAAAAUUUAUAUGUUGUAGAGACUUAAGGUUUUACUACUUUCUCUUGUUACUAGUUGAAAGGCACAUGUGUGGCACAAUACCACAGGCAUUUGUAGCAGAUUAAGCACCGGCAUACUUUCUUGUGACAUGUUUCUUGUGACAUUCAUGCAUUUCUGUUUUUAUUCUUUGUGUAUUGCAGCAUAUGUGGCUGUUUUGUAAGUACUAUCACAGUCUUUAAUACUUCUUUUCUUGUCAUGAAACUUAACCAUAAGGCUAUAGGUAAGCUUGGUAUGCUGUCCAAAGCAGUCAUGCCACAUUGUAACAUCAAUCAUAGGGCAGUUGCCAUUAUUUCGAGGCUACGUAGUGUGCACAUUCCCCAUGCAGCUGAUUGAGGACCUGUGUUACAGAAAACAUUGUGAAAAGUGGCGCAUAUGUAACUGCCAACCAAAAACAGUGCAAUUUGAAUUAAAGACAACCAAAUGCAUAGAAAACAGCUCUUUUAAGGAAAAGCACAGAUUGAAGAUGGCUUCCUUAUAACCAGCAACAUGCUCCCUUCUGUUUAAGGAGGAAGAUUGGGGACAAAGGGGGACAUUAUAAGGAGGAUAAUGAGAAAAAAAAAAUUAUGUAAAAAAAAUAGGACCAAGGUAUGUCAAGGUAUAUAAAUGGUGAUGAUGUAAAGGUAAGACCAAGAAUGGUGCAGAUGAAAAUAUUCUCGAGCUUGAUAUAUUUUGACGGACAAGUUAUGGGACCUAAUAUCCUUAUCUCAAGUGGAUUCAAGGAAAUUUAGUCCAUUCUUCUAAAAUAUCUAUUCGUGUCAUCGGGCAUUCCAAUGAAGUGUUGCACUUUUUCAACACACUGCACUUACCACAGUAAGGAUUGGUGGUUUGUCCAAGAUGGCAUAGGUCAAUGUGGCAUUCAGAUGAAGGGAAUGAUACAAUGUUUUACACUGACAAAGCCUUGAAUUUAUGGCCAGAUUAGUCAAGUGAAGGAAGCAAUGCCAAUAAAGCAUCUGAACAGGCAUAUUUUUUUGCCAUUAUCCAAAUUUGUUGAUAUAAAGAAGGCAGCUACAGUGACACGCAAAGCUCUCUAUAUAUGAAAAAUAUAUAUUAGAGAAUUCAAGACUGGACAUUUCAUUUGAAAUUUUAUUGUGAGAAUUAGAUUGACACUGUGUCUUAUGCAUUUUUAAUACUGCAUGGAAACUUGCAUCGAUUUCUGCAGGUCACAUUGUGCACAUGUUUUCAUGCAGCUGAUGAAAUCUUAUGUGAUGUGAUGUCUCUUGCUCUAAAUACUGCAAGGUGUAAAGUGCCGUUGACAGCAUUAUGGAGUUGUGCGCAUAUCUGAAUGCAAUUCUUUAAAUCUAGAAAUUGAGGUAAACUUCUGGAAAAAUGGCAGCACCGUUUCAGUUCAGUCCUUUUAACUGGCACAUUAAAUGGUUUGAGACAAAAGCAGCUCCUAGAGGCACUGUUUCUAAACAAAGUCCACUAAGUGUACCAAGUUAUGCCUGAAGUUUCAUGAUCAGUAAAAAAGGUUAAACUUUGGUGCAGUCAUUGAGCAGCUUAAAAAUAUUAAGCAUUCCUAAUAUUAAGAAUGCUGAACAGAUUUAUCGAGGCAUACUUUGGCGCCUGUGUUAAUUCGGUUUUCAGUGCAGAUCUUUAGUCACCUGAAGUAGUUUUCCUUGUAGGGCUUCUGAUCGGGGCAAGAAGUUUGUUAGUUUAAUGUAAUCAUUGUAAAAAAGCCAUAUUUUCAUUGAGUGACAGACUGGUUCAGGCUUUUGUUUUCAUACCCGGCUACAAAAUACUUCCUGGUGGAUGGUCCAUGGCUUGCAGCAGUUGAAAACGAAAUGGUUUAUUUUUUUUUAUUCAUAGUUAUUAAUUUGUAUUGGCUCUUCUUUAGAGUAAUAGUUUCAAAUGAAGCAUGCACAUCCUUGUUCAUUGGUAAAGUAAAAAAUGGUGUACAGUGCAGUCCACUAUUUCUAUGUAGCACUGUACAAGUUAUAAGAUCCACCAACUUUUGCAUUGGCUUUGGUAAAUUGUAUAUUAUGGUAAAUUGAAUAUUAUGAUGUGUUUAUCUUAUACAGGAUGGAAUGAAAUCCUAGCUUUUGAGUUCCCCCCCCCCCUUUUUUUUCAAUAACAAACAUUCUAGUAAAAAUCUGCUGCGCAAGUGAUGCUUAUGUUGGUUGGAGUUACUGUAGCUCAUUUUGCCUCCCGGUGCACAGGCUGUUUGGCUCGUGAUUUAAUGAAGUUGCAGCUAUGCAGUUUUAUGCAACCUGAAUGGCUGCUGUCAGCUAGCACAAAUAUGCAAUGACUUGGUGCAGUGAUAAUGAUAAUUAGGCUCCACCUGCCACAGGACCAUGACCUCAUUUAAGGGUUCUUUAGUGGACUUGGUGCCCAUUGUAGUAUCUCCUGCCUAUUGUACUAUUUCAUUGUAGCUUAAGUGCGAAAACAGAUUUUACAUUUUAAUUUUUACUGCGUGAUUUCUUUUAUGUUGGAGUAUAAAUUCAUGUGAGUUAGGGACUACUCCCUUAAUUGGCAAACUCCUCUGGCAUCACACCUUGCUAAGAUUGUAGGAAAAAUGUGGUCUUAUACAAGUUUUUAAACAUUCAUUGGUGAAAUUCCUUCAUUCCAGUAAAUAUUCUUAGGGUCCUGGAGGAUAGUGACAAGAGGUGUGUUCAGUAAAAUAGGUCGAUGAAGCAGGGAGCGCUUGAUCACUUCAUAUACGUAGUGCCUGACCUCUUAAAGUGGGGAUGAAAGGGAAAGUUGGUACAAAUCGAAUGUAGCAUGAAGCUGUUGUUACUGUUUCCUUGGAAAGAAAGCUUUUUGUUGUAGUUUGGGAUCGAAUAUGGAACUACCACUUGACUGGGGUAGUCUCCUCAUCAACUGAGCUAACCAGGAAGAUGACAGUUGCCAGUAUGAAAGCAAAUUAAUUGGCAGCUCAAUGUGGUGGGAAUCUAGUUUAGCCAAACGAGUUUUGUAUAAAUUGACAAGGUGUGGGUAUGUUUUUAUGAAUCUACCUCUCUCUACCGGACUGGCUUCUGCAGCAUGCUUAGCUAUUGUGUGAUGGUGCUUGCUGCAAUAUACAGUAAAUCCUUGUCUUAUGGUACUCGUUUUAGUGGAAUUAUCGGUCUAGGUGAAGGAUGUUGCCUGACCAAAGUGCAUACCCUUUUGACUAGAUUAUUUCCAGUGAACUGGGGGCAGACUCCACUUUUAGUAAGGGUAGUAAUUAAGUAAAUGGGUGAAAAGGGGCAAGCCAAGAUUUUUUCAUGCCCCUACGUACACUUCUAUAUUUUUUGCAGACAUAUUGAAAUGCAGUGCAUCUUUAGGCCACAUUUUGAAGCAAGCUCUAAGCAUAGCCUGUGUUAAUUGUUGCCAUGUUUCUUUUUGAUGCAAUCAUAUGGAAUGUCAGAAUUACAUCAAGUGAUGUAAUUAAAUGUGGCUGUGCCAAACCAGAGGUUGCCAAAGUAAUUGUUAUUAUGGUAUUAGCUGUAUGUAAGAAAAUAACUUGGGCAGAUAUUCUGAGUCACCAAACAGUUCAGCAAGAAAUAAAGAAAUGCAUGUGCACUCUUGUGCCACAUGUUCAGUGUGCAUAAGCAAGGCAGUAAAUCAGGCCAGUUGGUCUGUCAUAUUGGGAAUCUGAGUAGUGCUAAACAUACAAGUACUGACGCAAGGUACAUCGUGUGCUGUACCAUGUGUCUGUCCUUUUAGCGCUACUCAGUUUCCCAGUUCAGUGUGUAAUUCAUUUUCAGAGGUGCUGGUUUGGUGAACCUAAGCACCAAGUAUACUUCGCAAGUUUGAAGUACUGCAGAGUAAGCAUUCAAAAUCGGCAGUGUACUGAAACUGGCUGUUGACCACCAUUGUUAAGUUAUGAAGAGCAGGCUGCCUACAUGGAGACCAGUGCAAGCAGAACCAGGAUAUGGUCUGGGCCAGAGAUUGCAAGUAAAUGUGGCAGAAAUCCAACAAAGCAUGCACCAUGGAGUUCGUUACUCUUUCCCGACAAUGGGGAAAUGCCUGUGGCUUUCGGUUAGUGUUUUUUUUUCUUUUUUUCUGGGCCAACUGAUCUGUUUAGAAUGUAAUGGCACACAUAGAAGUCAAGCUAAAUUGGCUUUUGAAUUAUGUACAUUUGAAGGCGGAAUUUCGAUUGUGAAUGCAACAUUUAUUUUGUUAAACAAAAUUUUUAAAUAAUUCAUUCAAGCCAGGCAAGGAUAGCAUGCCUUUAGCUCGCGGAAUAAGGAAAUCUGCAGACUUCAGUGAUUGCUUUGGCAAUGUUCUUCUGAGAGCAGCAGGCUAUCGCAGUGGACACCACCAUCUUCUCAGGAAUAGCUUCUUUGCAAUGCAUACAACAUUGUCAUCAUUCACUACAGUACUGCUUGUUGUGGCUUCUGAAAUAAAUGCACAGAUGACACUGCUCUCAUAGUCGGUGUGGGGCAAAAACUUAAUUGCGAUGUGCACAAUGUCGUUCUUUACCACAGUAUUCACUGUUAUGAACUCUGAAAUACGUGCGCAGACAUCACCACUCUCAGAUUCUAUGUGGGGUGCUAAAGCCCAAACAAAAUAUGAAGCACCAAAGCCACGCAAUAGAGAUGUUUAGCUCCCAAAUGCACAUAGCUGCAGAGGCACGUGUUCAAAUCUCAAUGGCACUGGUGGGCAAAGUUUUGUUUUUCUUCACCCUAUGGCAAGUGAAGCUAAGGAUGAGGAGAUAGUCAAAAGACGACACAGGGACAACAGCUGUUGUCAUCGGCGCAAUGGAAAGGAUCAACAGUCAUAUGGGCACAGAAAACCCUUUUUCUAGCUUUUAACUGUUGUUGCACUAAAAUAGUCAAGAAGAAUUUAGAAGUGUUCCCUAUUUUGUGAACACAUGUUAUGAAAAAAAAAAUGACUAAUGUUCUAAUCACAUUUUUUGAGCUACCAAAAAUUGUCAACUCUCAUGAUUGAUGUGCCAUUCCAGAAAGCAGUUCCACAGUGUGCUGAAGGAUAGGCAUGGCAGUUUUUGCAAGCAAAAAUGUAUUCUACUUGGUUGUUAUGAUAGCACUUUAAUUUCUUCAUUUGUCCAUCCCCAGCUAGCCAUGGCUGUCAGCAGUAACGACAUGGCUUCAGAUUUGCACACAACUUAAAAGUUACUGGAAUAGUUACGUAGAUAUGAAAUAUGUAGUCUUAAUGCUUACGAUGAGAUAGUGCAGUAAGGCUGGCAGUUACGUGGGAGCUUUAAUAUGGAUCUCCGCACCCAUCAAUCACUGGUGAUGGACGCUCUAUAGUUUCGGUCUGGAAAGAGUUGAUAGCAUUCUAGUGGUUGCUGCUGCAUACCUCUUGCUGGUGCUGUAUGUGGCAAAGUGUAUACGUUCAGGAUCCCAUUUAUAUUUUCAAAAGCUGUGCGAUCAUAAGGUGCACUGUGGUUAAGCACAGCACAAAGACAUAGAGUGAAGAGGGGAGUUGUGCCUAUUCAGCAAAGUGGGAAAAGUCUCAGUAGUAUGUGAAUGAACCCAUCUUACACUGCACUUUUGUUGCGUGACAGUGUAGCGAACCCUUGAAUUUUAAACAUGCAAAAAAGAAGUGUGCUCCCUUUAAGAAGUGUGCCCCCUUUAAGGUGCCACUAAGGCACUUCAGUAGAAACCAGCUUUAAGGCACUUGAUUUUUCAAAAUGAUUGACUAUUAUAUAUCUAUAUGUUGGCACUAACAGGGAUCUAUUCAGGGUUAGCACAGUUUAGGCAGUGUUUUAGUGUAUCCUCAUUGUUAUGAGAACUGUUCUUAAAUGCCUCUGCUUUUUUUGGCCGCCGCUUAGAACAAAGCUCUUUGGUUGUGUCAAUGGCUUCAUUAUCAUGAGGGUUCAGGGUAUGAUGAUGAUUAGUUACAAUAAAACAUUUUGCUAUUUGAAGAUCAUUCUAAGUGGAUUACACUUUAAAUUAUUAAUGAACUGAGAGAAAAAUUAGAGAUAUAGUGUUGCAUGUUGUGAACUUGUGCAUCGAGUACUAUAUAGAGUUUUUACUUAUAAUAAAACGUUUGUCUAACCUGACAAAUGCUGCUUUAUGUAUACAGUGUGUAUACAGGGUUGGGUGAUUCUGUCAUAAUUGAUGAAAAACUCAUUUACAUCAAAUAAUUGUUUUUAUACAAAGCUGGCCCAGUUAAGCUUUGGAUAGAAUCCAAGUAACUGACUGAUUGGACAAAAGUAAUGGUUCUCUUUUACAUUUUAUCGAUGCAGUGACAGCUGUGCAGUGAAUGCUAUACAUCUGUAAUCAUUCUCAGCAUUGAUUCAUUCAGAGCUUGUGCGUUAUUUGUGUUAGUGCUGCCAAGGUCCUUCUUUGGUUAUUUUAUAUUUUGCAUGGAAUAAAGUGUCUUGAUAAGAGCAGUUAUUGUAAAGGCCAUUUUAGAGCGCCUCACCAGGUUUGCAAUGUUUGAAAGGAUUAACUCUUAAAAACGGACUGCAGUUUGAACAUGGGAAAGCACUCCUUUUUAACACAGUGUUCAUGCUUCUGUGCUAGGACAGCUACUGUUUACAUUGUAACCACUGUGUAUUGCAAUGCUUUGAAAACUUGUUCGGGCAGCUAGAUGAGGUGGUCCUGAAGUGUUAUUUCCUGAAGCGUUGUGUGUCUGGUGGCUGUGUACAUGGGUAUAGCCCACCUAAGCAGCUGUGUCAUACAUGACGGUUAAAAAAAAACAAACUUAAAAGUGGCAUUGCCCAGACCCAUAGUUUUGUUAAGCACUUAAUCCACUGUGUAUGACUGUAGUAGUCAUUUAGAGCUGUUUCUUUCUCGUCCUACACAUCAAUGCAAUCUGCACUAUCAGAGAAAGGCUUGUGCACUGUGGUUAACAACAUGAACUGAAUUCUUUUGGAACAUACAGAAUUGAAUUUAAUGAUGGUACACGGUGUGCAUUUAUGUGUGUUCAAUGCAGCACACCACAUUUUUGCUGUUCUUCCAGGCCAAUAUUAAUUUUUUUUUCAUGGCUGGCAUUUGUAAACUUUUUUCUUCUCUCUGAUAGUAUGCUAAAAUUUUAGGUGCAAGAUGUAUACCACAUUUUUGUAAUUUAAACAUUUGGGAUUGUGCUUAACAAAGUAUUGGAAAAAAAAAAAAAAACUAAUGCUGCAAUGUGAAAGGGCUGAAAGUUACAAGCUACCUGCAUACUGCUACAGCUCAUAGGCUCCUGUUUGUAACCUACACCAUUCAGUGUGUUGUACAUUCUUGCAAAAGUCAAAAUACCAUGACUUGUUAUAAGGGUGUGCCAGUUCCUGUGCAUCAUUUGCCUACACAGACAUCUGGCUUUAGUCUUGCUGCUGCAAAGGGCUAUAACUGUAGCUUCAGCAUGCAUGAACUGGCAUGCUCUGUGAAAAAGAACCAUGUCAUUUACACUUCUGCGACAAACCGUACAUUCAUUGACAGCUGGGAACAGUAAUGAAAGUGAAGGUCUAUUGUUUCAAGCUAGCCACUUGUGAUUGGAAAACUUAAGCAUGCCUUUAGCUGCUUCAGCUGCUUGGAUUGCAUUCCAGGCCUCAUGAAUGAAUUUAUGUAUGAUAAAACUUUGCUCCUAAAUGAAGAAUAUGCUUUAACUUGUUGCAUCUACAUUCAUGCUUUUCAAAUUAUGUGUAUGUAGCACACAAAUACAUUUGUGCCAUUAAGCUAGGAACUGCUGCAACUGCAUUAACUGCUGUUGGCAGUUUACUUAGAGGAUUUAUUUGUGUGCAUAUCCAGCUUUUCAAAGGAAUGUGUGCCUUUUCUUUUGUUUCCUAUGCUUAGCUAAUGCUGAUCCUGUUGCACAUCAUAUGCCCAAGUGAUUGAUUGCCACACUACCUGUGCUUUUGUUAUCCAUCUGCAUGUCUUGCUGUAUGCUGCAAAAGGACACUGUGAUACUAUUUAUUAAAUAUUGAAAGUUUACUUCUCA